rnacentral:rRNA from 1 species
AUUGAACGCUGGCGGCAUGCUUUACACAUGCAAGUCGUGCGGAAAGGCCCCUUCGGGGGUACUCGAGCGGCGGACGGCAGAGUAACGCGUAGGAACAUACCCCAAAGUGAGGGAUAACUGCUCGAAAGAGUAGCUAAUACCGCAUGUGGUCUUCGGAUUAAAGCCUUAGGGCGCUUUGGGAAUGGCCUGCGUUCGAUUAGCUAGUUGGUGAGGUAAAUGCUCACCAAGGCGACGAUCGAUAGCUGGUCUGAGAGGAUGAUCAGCCUGACUGGAACUGAGACACGGUCCAGACUCCUACGGGAGGCAGCAGUAGGGAAUUUUCCACAAUGGGCGAAAGCCUGAUGGAGCAAUGCCGCGUGCAGGAUGAAGGCCCUCGGGUCGUAAACUGCUUUAUGUGAGAAGAAUAUGACGGUAACACAUGAAUAAGGGUCGGCUAACUACGUG